rnacentral:rRNA from 1 species
GGAAGUAAAAGUCGUAACAAGGUCUCCGUUGGUGAACCAGCGGAGGGAUCAUUAUACAGUUCUUUCUGUAAAACCCUUGACAACCUACCAUCUGUUCGCUCCCUCGGCGGGCGGCGCCUUCGCGGAGGCGCCCCCGGCCCGGCCUCGCCGGGCGCCCGCCGGAGGGGCACACAACCAAACCAUUGUUAUACUGCGUCCCUCCGAGUAAACAAAAAACAAGUUAAAACUUUCAACAACGGAUCUCUUGGUUCUGGCAUCGAUGAAGAACGCAGCGAAAUGCGAUAAGUAAUGUGAAUUGCAGAAUUCAGUGAAUCAUCGAAUCUUUGAACGCACAUUGCGCCCGCCAGCAUUCUGGCGGGCAUGCCUGUUCGAGCGUCAUUUCAACCCUCAGCCCCCCAGGGCUGGUGUCGGGGCUCCCGGUGGCAACGCCGGGUCCCUCAGAGCCAUCGGCGGACCGCCGCGGUCUCCGGGCGCAGUAAUUCUUCUCGCCCUGGAGGACGCGGUGGCUCCCGCCGCUAAACCCCCAAACUUCUAAGGUUGACCUCGGAUCAGGUAGGAAUACCCGCUGAACUUAAGCAUAUCA